rnacentral:rRNA from 2 species
UAGUUAAAUUAAUUGAUUUAUUAUUAGUAAAUAUUAAUUUUUUGAAAAAAAUAAUUUAAAUAAUUUAGGUUAGUAUAUUUUUUAAAAAUAAUUUUUUUUAAUUUUAGUGAAAUUGUGAAAGUUGGCAAUCUUAAUGUAAAAAAAAUUUUAGUUUAAUGUUCCUUUUGUAUCAGGAAUUUUUAAUUAAAUAACAAGUUUAUGUAAUUUUCGAAAUAAUAAGAAUUAGUUAAUUAUUUAAUAUAAAGUUUUAUUUUUAUUUAAAAUAGUUAGCUGUAAGUGAAAUAUUAUUAGAUUAUUAUGAUUUCUAAUUUUUUAAUAAAAUAAUUUAAUUAAUUUAAAUAGAAUAAAAAAAUUUUUGUUAUAUUUAUAAAAUUUUAUAUAAAUUGUAAAUAUUAAUUUAUGGUUAAAGUUUAUGAGUUAUUUAUAUUUAAAUAAUAAUUUAGGGGAUAAUCUUUAAAUUUAAUUUAUUAAUUUAAUUUAUUUUAAGGCAAUAUCUUAAUAAUAUUAAAAAUUUAUAUUUGUUAAAAAUUUUAAUAAUUUAGAUUUUUUAUAAAAAUGAUUAAAUAAUUUAUUUAUAUAAGUUUAAUUAAAAUAAUUUUUAAAUUAUUUAAUGAUAUUUUAAAAAUUAUAAUAAUAAAAAUUAAUUUUAGUGAAAUAAGUAAAAAUUUUUUCAUUUAAAUUUCAUAAAUAUUUAAUAAAUUUGCUAUUUUUUUGGUUAAUAAUUUAAAAAUCAGGUUUGCUCUAUGAAAAUAUUCAAAUGGCUGCAGUAUUUUAACUGUGCUAAGGUAGCAUAAUAAUGAGUUUAUUGAUUGUAAACUGAAAUGAAUGAUUAAAUAAAAUAAAAACUUUUUUAAUUUGAAUUAUUCAAUUUAAUAAAUAAAGUAAAAAUGCUUAUAAAUAAUUAUAAGACGACAAGACACUAUAAAAUUUUAUAAAUUACUUAAAUAAUAAUUGAUUAAAUUAAAUUUUUUUUAUUUUGUUUAUUCAAUUGGGGUGAUUUUAUUGUUUAAUAAAUUAAUAAAUUUUCAAGACAUUCGAUAAUGAUUUAAUGAUCCAAGUAUUUUUGAUUAAUUGAUUAAUUUAAUUCACGGAUAACAGCGAAAUGAUUUAUUUUAGUUCUUAUAAAUUAAAUUAUUGGCGACCUCGAUGUUGAAUUAAGAUUAAUUUUAAAUCCUUUUUGAUCAAUAUUUGCAAAAUUUUUUGCGUAUUGGCCAGGAAAUAAAUGGAAAUCCUUGAUUUAUUCUUUUUCGAAUUCGGCUCAAAAUUCUGAGCCCUCUUCAGAUAAAUUUUAAUUCUAAAAUUAAUAAUACAAAGGUUAUUAUAAUACAUUUUAAAUUUAAUUAUUGAUUUUAAGUU